CAACGACUCUCGGCAACGGAUAUCUCGGCUCUCGCAUCGAUGAAGAGUAGCGAAAUGCGAUACUUGGUGUGAAUUGCAGAAUCCCGUGAACCAUCGAGUCUUUGAACGCAAGUUGCGCCCGAAGCCGUCAGGCCGAGGGCACGUCUGCCUGGGCGUCACGC
rnacentral:rRNA from 1 species